rnacentral:rRNA from 1 species
AUUGAACGCUGGCGGCAGGCCUAACACAUGCAAGUCGAGCGAGUGGCGGACGGGUGAGUAAUAUAUCGGAACGUGCCCAGUAGCGGGGGAUAACUACUCGAAAGAGUGGCUAAUACCGCAUACUAUUGUAGCGGCCGAUAUCGGAUUAGCUAGUUGGUGGGGUAAAGGCUCACAAAGGAAACGAUCCGUAGCUGGUUUGAGAGGACGACCAGCCACACUGGGACGUAGACACGGCCCAGAGUCCUACGAGAGGCAGCAGUGGGGAAUUUUGGACAAUGGGGGAAACCCUGAUCCAGCCAUCCCGCGUGUAUGAGAAGGCCUUCGGGUUGUAAAGUACUUUUGGCAGAGAAGCGGUAGCGGCAGAAUAAGCACCGGCUAACUACGUGCCAGCAGCCGCGGUAAUUC